CUGUUAUAAUCAGGCAGUUUCUUGGGUCAUUAUCAUAAAAGCCAGCACUCUGAUGUUGUCUAGUACUGCGGAGAAGAAUCUCAACAUCCAAACGACAACGCUUUUCGUUUCACUGAAUUUCAAAUAUCAAAAUGCCAGAGCCACAGGACAAUGUACCCCCCAUCAAACCAUCACCCGGUCCUCGGGGUCGAGAACCACAAGAAAGAGGUCCCAAAGACACCGACUCGUCGUGUGUCAUCCUUUAGAUCCGGCAUGGCCCAUCCAGCUGGGAUGAAAACAAGGGCAGGUCAAGGGGAGGGGGUCAAUGACGGCCAUGCCCCUACCCAAAGCAUAAAAAUAUAGCCUCGCCCCAUAGAAGGGCCCAAAAAGACUACAGAAAACUUACCAGUUUUUUGGGCAACGUAACAAAAGCUUGGUCUCAACUCCCCCCCCCCCCAAAUUUGAAUGUGGAUCCACCCAUGCAUGCAAACUACCAGACAAUGGAGCACCACAUCCUUUGCUCUCCAGAAAGCAACAUCUCCACUUCCACCUGGAUGUCUUCUACUGUCUUCACUUCAGUAACCUCCACCCACCACCACCACCACCAAGUUCCCUCAGCCUGUCCCAGCAUCAUGUCACACUAUUAAAAGCAAAUCAAAGAGAAUACUUUACCUUCAUAAUCGACCUUUGAUAAUGUAUUAUGGAGUCUAUGACCUAAUUUUGUUCACCUUGAAGAAUGCCUUGAUUUAUUAGCUAGAAGUCUGUAGUUGUCUUGAAAUGAGUGCUUUCAAACAGUUCAGUGUGAUCCUUGCAACAGCUUUCGUGACUUGUUGUGACUUAUGCAACUGGCAAUUUUAAAUCUCUGAGAUGUAUCUUGAACCAAUAAAGGUAUUUCCAUUUUAAACCUGGAUGAGAUUAGGGAUUAGAAAAAGUUAUCUGGAAAACAGCCAGUAAAGAGGUUGUAACAAGAACAAUAAAAAGCUGAACCAGGCGUGAGUUCUCCCUCAGCUGCCUACAAUCUUACACUGGUCUCUUUUUGUAUACUUAAGUUAGGUCAAAACAUAGCAAAACUUGAAUGGUUAUACCUCUUAAAUUCAGAGUUUGGUGUAAACUACUGAAAAAUAUCUUCUAAUCCCAGCCAGGUUUGAAACUGUACACUGUCCCCAAGGGGUCUUUUGCGAAGUUAUGAGGUUUCUCAGUUUCAAUUUUCCAAGUUAAAACCCGUUGAAUAUCUACUGCAAUUUAACAGGGACUGGUUUAAGUGACAGUCUUCUCACCAAAGUGUAAACAGAGGUGGGGGGGUAGGGUUGAUCCUAAUCCCCAAGGGUACAUGUAAAAUCAUGUUGAAAUUGAAUGAUUCAGGUUGCCAGCAUUCUGGCUACCAGCAUUCCCGAACAAAAAUCGAAAUUUAAACCAACUUCAAUGAAACACUCAGUUACCUAAUAGCAUCUGCUUUUGUGUUUGUUUUUCUUUCUUUUUUUAAAGUGGUUGUAAAAAUUAUGGCUUGCCAUCAGUACAAAAGUAAAAGCAUUAAAGUAUCACAAAUCUAAAUCUUAGAUUGGUAGUUACUUUUAAAUUUUAGUUUAUACACUUAUUAGUAAAUAUCAAAAAACACAAACCUCUUUCAAAUAAAUGGGACAAAUGUACAUUCCCAACGGAGCAUAAUCGAGGUAAAACUAAAAACCAACCAAAGGGUGACUUUUCUGCAAUUUUUGGCCGCGUUAGAUGUAACUGUAGGCAAAGUGUAAAUGGUCUAUGCUUGAAUCUAAGUUCUUUUAAUUUGCAUUAAUACAUGUAUGAGGUUUUCAGUACUUGAAUACCGAAACUAGUGCCUUAUGUUACAUCUCUGUCGAAUAUAUUAAUUAGCACGUCAUGGCAUGGACUACUAGCUACGUUUUAUUACACUUUAAUACUUCAUGAGACUUUAGAAAAGUAUUAUGUGCUCAUGAAAAGAAAAUGGUACAUACAUUGUUAUAAUAACCAUACAUAUUUUCAAACCAACAUACUUGUACUAUCCAAUAUUUCCAAUACUACUGCCCCUUUAAUCAAUAACAAUAGAUACAUGUGUGAUUCUCGUAAAA